rnacentral:lncRNA from 1 species
AAAAAAUUAGCCGGGCGUGGUGGUGGGUGCCUGUAGUCCCAGCUACUCGGGAGGCCGAGGCAGCAGAAUGGCGUGAACCUGGGAGGCUGAGCUUGCAGUGAGCCGAGAUCGUGCCACUGCACUCCAGCCUGGGUGACAGAGCGAGACUCCGACUCAAAAAAAAAGAACACUUAUGUGUCUUUAAGAUCAUAAAACUGUAAAUUCAACUGAAGAACAAAAUGCACAAGGAAAAGAUAAAUUUCUUGAUAUAUAUGAAACACAAGAAAGAAAAAGAAGAUUGAAAAGAGCCAUAUGUUUUCAAUGUAUGUUUCUUUGUAUUUUGUGUGUUUUUAUGUGUUUAUUUUUGUGUUUUUUUAUGUUAUGUGAUGUUUGUGUAUUUUUGAUAUUUUUAUAAGAUGUCUACCUCCUUUUUUUUUUUUUUGAGACAGAGUCUCUUGUCACCCAGACUGGAGUGCAGUGGCAACGAUCUCCACUCACUGCAAGCUCCGCCUCCUGGGUUCACACCAUUCUCCUGCCUCAGCCUCCUGAGUAACUGGGACUACAGGCACCCACCACCAAACCUGGCUAAUUUUUUGUAUUUUUAGUAGAGACAGGGUUUCACCGUGUUAACCAGGAUGGUCUGGAUCUCCUGACCUCGUGAUCCACCCACCUCGGCCUCCCAAAGUGCUGGGAUUAUGGGCGUGAGCCACUGCACCUAGCCAAGAUGUCUACUUUUAAAUAUUUUUAUAUUUAAUUUUUGGUAACUUAAAAAUCUUAUAUUAACCUAAGUUAAAUGAUGGUUAUUUGUAUUAGUCUGUUUUCUGUUGCUAUCACUGAAUACCUCAGAGUAGGGAGUGGGUAAUUUAUAAAGAAAAUAAAUUUAUGUAUUAUGGUUCUUGGGGCUAGGAAGUCCAAGGGCAGUCAACAGGCCAAAUCUAGGGAGGGCCUUCUUGCUAAUGGGCUCUGAUAUGGUUUGGAUCUGUGGCCCCACCAAAGUCUCAUGUUGAAUUGUAGUCCCCAGUGUUGGAGGUGGGGCCUGGUGGAGGUGAUUGGAUUAUGAGGGCAGAUUUCUCAUAAAUGUUUUAACACCAUUCCUCUCGGUACUGUCCUUCUGACAGUGAGUGAGUUCUCAUGAGAUCUGAUUGUUAAAAAAUGUGUGGCACCUCCCCAUUCUCUCUUCCUCCUGCUCUGGCCAUGUGAAGUGCUGUCUUCCUUUGCCUUCUGCUGUGAUUGUAACUUUCCUGAGGCCUCCCUAGAAGCCAAGCAGAUGCCAGCAUCAUGCUUCCUGUACAGCUUGUGGACCUGUGUGCCAAAUAAACCUCUUUUCUUUAUAAAUCACCCAGUGUCUGGUACUAAUUUAUAGCAAUGUGAGAACAAACUAAUACAAAGUCUCUCUGCAGCGUCCCAAGUUGGUGCAGGAAUUAUAUGGCAAGGGGACUCACUGAGAGACAAACAGCCUUUUACAACAGAGUCACACUGUAUUAGUCUGUUUUGCAUUGCUAUAAAGAAAUACCUAAGCCUGAGUAAUUUAUAAAGAAAAGAAGUUAAUUAGCUCACGGUUCUGCAAGCUGUACAGGAAGCAUGGCAGCUUCUGCUUCUAGGAGACCUCAGGAAGCCUCCAAUCAUGGCAGAAGGCAAAGGGGGAGUGAGCUGUCUCACAUGGCCAGAGCAGGAGGUAGAGAGGGGAAGGUGCCACACACUUACAAACAACCAGAUCUCAGGACAACUCACUCAGUAUCAGGAGAACAGCACCACAAAAUUGUGGUUAAUCAUUCAUGAGAAGCCUCCCACGACCCAAUCACCUCCCACCAGGCCUUACCUCCAACAUCUGGGAUUACAAUUCAACAUGAGAUUUGGUGGGAACACAGAUCCAAACCAUAUCACGCACAAAUUGCAAUUACUUCACACUCACGAUAACCCAUUAAUCUGUGAAGGAUUAAUCUGUUCAUGAAGGCAGGGCCCUCAUGAUGGAAUCACAUCUUAAAGCCCCUACGUCUGAGUACUGUUACAUUGGGGAUUUAGUUUUAAUAUGAUUUUCAGAGCAGAAAAACAUUCAAACCAUAGCAAUAUGUAUUGAAUAUCUAGAUCAUUUCCAAAUAAGAUAUUAAUAUGAUACUGAAACAUUUAUUGCUGAACAUAAAUUUAGAACUUACUUUGCCUACCUAUUACAGAAGAACAAAAGAUAUUUGGGCCUAUUAAACCUUUCCUCUGCCAUUUCCUGUCCUGUGUCAUAGGACUAGGAAUCGUGUUUCUAGAAAGUAUGAAAUCGUGUGCUUGCAAACUUGGAAGAAAACAGUUCAUGACUGCAUACCUUCUAGUUCUCUAGUGUUCACUGGAAAUUAAAGACACUAAAAGUUAACAAUUCUUAUUAAUUAAUCAUAUUAAUGUAAUUGGAAUUUCUAGAAAUAUUAGGGGAAGCAACUUUAUACGCAAAGCAUAACAGAAAAAUAAGGUGUAUUUUUUCUUUGAAACCUAUGAAAUAUACUGGCCAGGCACGGUGGCUCACGCCUGUAAUCCCAGCACUUUGGGAGGCUGAGGCGG